rnacentral:rRNA from 1 species
CUGCGAGUGAAGCGGGAAAAGCUCAAAUUUGAAAUCUGGCGGUCUUUGGCCGUCCGAGUUGUAACCUGGAGGAGUGUUUUCCGCGUCGGACCGUGUACAAGUCUCCUGGAACGGAGCGUCAUAGAGGGUGAGAAUCCCGUCCAUGACACGGACAGCCGGUGCUUUGUGAUACACUCUCGAAGAGUCGCGUUGUUUGGGAAUGCAGCGCAAAAUGGGUGGUAAAUUCCAUCUAAAGCUAAAUAUGGGCGAGAGACCGAUAGCGAACAAGUACCGUGAGGGAAAGAUGAAAAGCACUUUGGAAAGAGAGUUAAACAGUACGUGAAAUUGUUGAAAGGGAAACGCUUGAAGUCAGUCGCGUCUUGGUGGAACUCAGCCUUGCUUCGGCCUGGUGUACUUUCCAUUAGACGGGUCAACAUCAAUUUUGGCCGGUGGACAAAGGCGGGGGGAAUGUAGCGUCGUUUCGGCGACGUGUUAUAGCCCCUCGUCAUAUGCAUCGGCCGGGAUUGAGGACCGCAGCGCGCCCUUUUUUGUGGCCGGGGGUUCGCCCCACGUACCGCGCUUAGGAUGUUGGCAUAAUGGCUUUAAGCGACCCGUCUUGAAACACGGACCAAGGAGUCUAACAUGUUUGCGAGUGUUCGGGUGGAAAACCCUUGCGCGCAAUGAAAGUGAAAGUUGGGAGCCUCCGCAAGGGGGUGCACCGACGCCCGGCCCUGACGUUCUCUGACGGUGCUGCGGUAGAGCAAGUAUGUUGGGACCCGAAAGAUGGUGAACUAUGCCUGAAUAGGGCGAAGCCAGAGGAAACUCUGGUGGAGGCUCGUAGCGAUUCUGACGUGCAAAUCGAUCGUCAAAUUUGGG